rnacentral:rRNA from 1 species
CUGCUGCCUUCCGUAGGAGUCUGGGCCGUGUCUCAGUCCCAAUGUGGCCGGUCACUCUCUCAAGCCGGCUACUGAUCGUUGCUUUGGUAGGCCGUUACCCCGCCAACUGGCUAAUCAGACGCGAGCUCAUCUUUGGACGAUAAAUCUUUGGCAGCAAAAUCAUGCGGUCUCGCUGCAUCAUGCGGUAUUAGCAGUCGUUUCCGGCUGUUAUCCCCCAUCCAAAGGCAGAUUGCU